rnacentral:rRNA from 1 species
AAUGAACGCUGGCGGCAUGCCUAACACAUGCAAGUCGAACGAGACCUUCGGGUCUAGUGGCGCACGGGUGCGUAACGCGUGGGAAUCUGCCCUUGGGUUCGGAAUAACAGUUAGAAAUGACUGCUAAUACCGAAUGAUGUCGUAAGACCAAAGAUUUAUCGCCCAGGGAUGAGCCCGCGUAGGAUUAGCUAGUUGGUGUGGUAAAGGCGCACCAAGGCGACGAUCCUUAGCUGGUCUGAGAGGAUGAUCAGCCACACUGGGACUGAGACACGGCCCAGACUCCUACGGGAGGCAGCAGUGGGGAAUAUUGGACAAUGGGCGAAAGCCUGAUCCAGCAAUGCCGCGUGAGUGAUGAAGG